GCGAAACAAGUCUCUGCAAAACAGUUCAUUUAACAUUAGUCAUUGUUUUAAUAAGCUGUAAGUAGAUUUAAAAAAAAAAUUACAUGGGCAAAUCUUAAAAUACUGGUUGAAUAAUAUAAAUACGUUAGAUAAAAUGAAACUCUUAUAUUAUGUUUUAAUAACAUUCGUCUUUUUAAAUGUUUCGGCAGAAAGAACGGACUCUUCAUAUAUAAGAACAGUUGCCAUUACAAACGCAUACAUCCAGUCAGCUUCUGACUAUAAUGAUGAUAUAGUAAAAAAUGGAUUGGAACAUGUAAUUGAACAAAUUGUUUCUGACGAUUGUUAUUCACUUGGUAA